AAAGUAAGAGAUCACAAAGGCUUGGUGUCUCGUUGGGCUGUCCUACAGGAAACACGGGUAGAGUAUUUCAGGGGAAAAGAUUUCGUCGCUUUUGUGAAAAAUCAUUCAGAACUUAAAGACAUACUAGAGUCAGAUAGAGAUUUGGAGCCUGAAGAUAUUGCCGACUCACUGCUUAGCAAGAAUCUUCUAGUCCGCUGUGAUCGUGUGGUAAAAACUGUUCGGCCUGGGUGGAGCCUGAAGAUAUUGCCAACUCACUGCUUAGCAAGAAUCUUCUAGUCCGCUGUGAUCGUGUGGUAAAAACUGUUCGGCCUGGGAAGAAAAAGUUAUCUUCUUGGCCAGCGCAUUUGGAGAUAUACCGUGUGA
rnacentral:lncRNA from 1 species